ACCCUUUGUCUCCCAGAGUUGAGCUGAGUUGUUUCUUCUCUCCCCGGAGGCCUUUUGGACACUUCCCCUGCCUCAAAGGACAAGUUCCCUCAGGCCCUCCCUUGCAGAGAACUGAGAACAAUGAUGGAUUCAGACCUCUGAUCUCACAACCUCAGCCCCUACUUCUGUCUCAGGACACCGCUGAUCUGUAUCCUCCUGCAAGAUCUUAGCAGACCUCACCUUGCAAAUCUUGGAUAAACACACAAGCACGGCAGUUUCAGUUGCAGAAAAACUGAUGAGGAAUUACAGUGUUACGGAUGUGUCAUCUCCACCCUACGGUUACCAGUGGGAGAAUUCGGCUGACUGCGGAGGGUGUGGACACAGGGAUCCGGGGCCUCCACCGUGUUUCAUUAUCAGAACUCAUUAUUCACCCUCACUUCCGAGAGUCCUUACUCAAAAUGAAGGGUUAACCACCUCUUCUCUUAAUGGGGCCUAAAAUCCAUCCCUAUGGUGAGUGCUGCCUUUUCCCUGAGUUAUGUCCCUCAGUACCAAACCAUGCUUAGAGAGGACGUUCC
rnacentral:lncRNA from 1 species